UGUUGUUGAAAAGCAGCUGGAAUUGGUCAACAACUCAAAAGUGUGCGGGUAUAAGUGAUUGUGAGGGGAAGCAACAUACGCCCCUACUUUACAGCGAGACAAUUAUUUUGGUCAUGUGGUGCUCAGUGAUGGUUUAGCGGAAGAGCAGGGGGUGUCAAGCUGGAGUGAAUUCAUAAUAUACGCAAAUAAAUAACUUUCUGAAGUACAUACUUACUUUGCUGAAACAAUGCCACAGUUCGUAAUUUACUUCUACCAGGGUUUAUUAUCUCAUUGUUUUCUAUUCCGUCACACGGAGAAAACCUUGGCCUCGUAGGUAUAAAACCUCAUCCAGUCAAUGCAGAAGAUAUUCACUCCACUUUAAAAAAAACAACAGCAGAUCAACUCUUGCGAUUUUCAAAAUGAACAAGUCCACGGUUGGUGUCUUCGUGGUGGUGGUGCUGAUGAUGCUGGCUACCGUUGGUCAGGAGGUGCACGCUGUUGCCAAUGAUAUCCCAUCGGAACUGGGUGCUGCUGAACCCUCUGCCGUUGAAGUCAAUCCGCGUUUCCGACGCUCCCCGGCGUUCCGCGCAAAAAGAGAUCCUUGCAAAAUGAUGGGAAAAUGCUGAGUGUGAAUUUGUGACUUAUAGGAAGGAUAAGGAUUAUAUUUUUAUAUUUUUUUCUUAAAUUUUUUGAUAAGGAAGAUAAAUUUCAUUGAAGGCUAAUCAAAAAUAAAAUCAGUAAUAAUCACAGCA